rnacentral:misc_RNA from 1 species
UUACUUCUCUCUCUAUAAUUCUCUAUUUCUUUCCGCUUCUCAUCCCUAUUUCUUCUAUUUUCUCAUCUCCUUUUCUUUCCCUAAAACAGAAACCCUAAUCUAAGGUUUUCUGUGACAAAUUGGUAUCAAAGCACUCUCCCUGGGUUGACUCCAAACACUCUUCCCUGUGUCGCAAGGAUGGCCAGAUCAGUAAUAGCGAGUCAGGAGGGAGUAAGGGUUGCAGAGCUGGAGGAACAGAUCCGGAAUAUGCAGCUAGAGCAGGCAAAGGGAAUGGACAAUCUCAUAUCUGAAUGGAAGCUGAGGUAAGGCAGAGUAUUAUGGACGCAAAGAAUGUUUUUCUUAAUGAAAUGCGAGCCUUAAUUGGGGAAAAUAGUGGAGCAAAAGACAAGAAUGUGAGUAUAGAUGAAGGAGAAACCUGGGAAGGUUAGGAGGAAAAGGAAUUUUAUCUAACCCUAACCCUAAGGAAGUUAAUAGUCAAAAAGAUCAAUUCAGUGCUGGAUCUUCAAUGAGUAGUGAGGAAUUUCAGAAGAUGUUGCCUAAGACUGAAUUAACUACAUGUGAUGGAGGAGAUCCUAGGGUUUAGCUUAGGAAAUGUGAAAAGCAUUUUGAGGUCCAUAAGGUGCCAAGAGAACAAAGGGUAGGAAUUGCUACUCUGUUUUUAGUUGAGAGGGUAGACUCUUGGUAUCAUAAUUGGAGUAAGGAAAAAAGUGGAGUUUCUUGGGAAGAAUUUGAGAAAGAAUUAUAUAUAAGGUUUGGGGAAGAAGGGCUUGAAGAUGUGGUUGGAGAAUUUAUGAGGAUUAGGCAAGAAGGAACUGUUAGAGAAUAUCAAGACAAAUUUGAGGAUUUAAGGAUUAGAAUGGAGAGGGUUAUGCCAGAUUUGGGUGAAUCCUAUUUUCUUUCAGGAUUUAUUGGGGGUUUGAAGGAUGAGGUGAGACUUAUGGUAAGAAUGAUGAAACCAACCACUCUUUCUCAAGCUAUUGAGGUUGCAAGAUUGCAAGAACAACUCAUAAAUUCUACCAAGAAACCCACUCCUUACUCUAGACUCUACCACGCUAAUGUCAGAUCUAACACUUUCUCACCUUCAGCACCUCUCACCUAUAAAUUUAAUCAACCUUGUCAAAGUUAUCCCUAUGCUCCCAAACCUCCAAUGAUAGACCAGAAUUCCAAUUCAAAACAAUCAAAUUCUG